rnacentral:lncRNA from 1 species
GGGUAUUAUUAAGGUGAGACUUCUGUAGCCUUUUCAAUAAAGACCAGAAUUUUGGAGUGCCUUCAACCUUAAUCAUUGAUCUUUAAUUCUUAUUAAGUCAACUGCCCACCUUUUAAAGACUGAGGCCCAGGAAGAGUAAGUUUCUCUGAGACAAUGCAUACAGUACAGUGCUUCUUGGGUAUUGGCUCUAAGACCAGAUGCAAAGAAAGGCUAAAAUCCCAUUUCAUUGUUCAUUAGGUGAGAACCCUUUGUUAAGCUGUGUAACCUCUGUGCAUAGUUUCCUCAUCAGCAAAGUCAGAAAAAGUAUGUACCUGAAGGACUGAUUGUAAGGCUGGGAUGAGAGAAUCCAUGUGAUCAGCCCUCACCAACAGGUGCUGCCCAGUUCAUGAGUGCUGCUGCUGUCCUGCCCAAGUACCCAGCUUGCAGAGUGCCGGAGUUAGAGUCCCAGGGGUGUUCUCCACAGCUGCAUGCUUGAUCCAGGCCUAUCAGAUAUAUUCCAUUGAAAGUCCUCAUUCUCAAAUUUAAAACAAAGACUUUUUGUGUACCUCAAUAGCAAUGCACACACAGUUGGCUUCACAAACAUAUUGUACAUUCCUUUUUUUCAUAUUUAUUCAACAAAUGUAUAUUGACUACUCACCGUGUGACAGGUGUUAUUUGUUGGCGGAACCAGGCAUCAUCAGCAAACAAAACUGACAAAGCUUCCUGCCCUCUGUGGAAGGCAUCUGAGGAAGAGACUGGAUUUUGUAGCAACAUGUUAUUCUCAUUAUAAACUUUAUCAUUGGAAUACUAAAGCCAAAUCAUCCCCCAUCUCCUUGAUCGGAUACCCACCUAAUCUAGGCAGCUACACAAUUGUGAGAGCCUUUGUUUUUUUCUGCUGAAACAUCCUUAAAAAGAUACCUCACAACCCAAGAUUUGACUUUUCUUAAAUAUGAUUUUUAAUUUUUUUCAUUUCUAUCUAGAGAUUUAAUUGGAAAUGGAAAAUCAUCAAUUUUCCAAUUAAAUGUCUGUUCCAAUCAACAUUAUACCUUUUAGGUUGCCAUUGUCAUUUUUAAG